GUUGUGGUAUUUUCUUCUUUUAAUGUUAACAAAAACAAAUAAGAUUUUAGGUCAUUUUGAUAAAUAAAAACAAACAAAAAUGACAAGAAAAAAAGUCCAUCUUUUGCCAGUUGGUAAGAGAGAAACCUGGUGUCUUACUACUUGAAUUAUGACUGGCAUGAUACUGUUUUGUUUGAAACAAACAAAAAUUUCCAGAUGUAACACAGCAAGGAUUAAAAAAAAAAGAAAUAACUUGGAAAACCUUAAUCUUUUAUUACAUUUGAGAUGUAAACUCACCGCACAACGCCCAUCAUUUAAGACCUUACGAUCCUAAAGAAUGACUUCUUCUGAAGCAAUGAGGUUCACAAACACGGUACCUCCUUAUCAGAUAAAUUUGGAAACUGAUUGGCAUGGCCUUAUCAACU
rnacentral:lncRNA from 1 species